CUGCGCCGGGCAGCGCCCGACAGGGAUCGUGAGGGUGUAACGGGAAUAAAGGGGCCUCAGGGAGCCCUCACCGCUGUACGCAGCUUCCUCACCAAGGGAAGCCCAGGGGCAGGCUCUGAUCUCUCUGGCGACCAGUGACAGGGAAUGGCCUGAAAUUGUGUCAGGGGAGGUUUAGGUUGGAUAUUAGAAAAUUUUCAGCCAGAGGGUGGUUGGGCACUGGAACAGGUUCCCCUGGGAAGUGGUCACAGCACCAGGCCUGACAGAGUUCAAGAAUCGUUUGGACAAUGCUCUCAGAGACAUGCUGUGAUUCUUGGGGAUGUCCUGUGCAGGGCCAGGAGUUGGACACGAUGAUCCUUGUGGGUCCCUUCCAACUCAGAAUAUUCUGUGAUUCUGUGAUAACCCCAGUGGCUGGUGGCCAGUUGGUUCCUGGCCAGAGUCAGCAGCAAUGCCCGGCUGCUGCAGGGUCAGCACUCAUCCCAGGCUUCCUCUGUGGUGUGGGCAUGUAGGAGGCACCGAUGGAGCUGUUUCCCUGUGCCGAGUGCAUGGACAGUGCACACACACCAGUGCUCUGCCUGGCAGAAGCAGGGAGAGCACUUUGCAAGCCAGCUGUGGGUCACCACUGACCCUGGACAGCCACCAGGAACCACAGACGAAGUGCAGGUACUCGGUGUGUGACACCUACAGCGGUAGUGGGGAAUCUCCACAAAUCAGGGGGGAGGGUAACACCUCUGUCACCAUCCCCGGGGAAUGGUGGUUGCCUUCAGCUAUCACCAGCUCCACUGGAUUACAGGGAAGAGAGCAGACUGACUCAUCCCAGCUCCAGCCCAGGGCUCGCUUCCUUAAUGGUGCUUCUGCUGACUGUUGCAUCCGGCCCACUAUGUUCAGGAGCCAGACUGAACCUGUGCCAGAGGACUGGAAAUAGCAGGUUGCAAGAUGUGGUUGAGAAAUCGACCUCCUGAGUUGUGGCAGGAGCCAUGUCCUUGGAUUUCGGAGUCUGACAGAGGAAAAUGACACAGUAACGUGCUUCGCAUGGUGAAAUGCACAGAGGGCUUGGCAAUACUUCUUGCUACAGCAGGUCCCAAAACUGCUUGGUGUCCAUAAAGAAGACCUUUUGCUGGAGGCCCACACCUGUGUAUAUGCAGAAGGCUCUUCAGAAAUCCCCUGCUGUAUCUGGUGAUUGUAUUCUGCACAGGCUGAAACCAACGUCCGCAUCAUGGAAGCUGCAGACAGCACAAUGGUGCAGGAUUGUGAGGUGGACACAGGUCCUAUGGGCAGGGCAUGGGCUAAGCAGGGCCAAAGCCCUUAGGCAGUGCUCCUUAGGGAGGCUGUUCAUGGGUGAGCUGCUGAAACACCCUCCUCUCACCAGCUCAGAGCUCAUCUGUGAGCACUGAAGUUCACACAGAGCCUCUGCUAGUGCUGUCUCAGCCUCUCUGAUACUGCUUCUGCAACCCUGAAUCAUCCUUCAGAGACUUCCAGUCUGGAAAACCUUUCCUGUCUGCUGCCCAGGUUGUGCUGGAAGCGGCAGAGAAUGGGGGGAAGGGGCGGGAGAAGGAGCUCAGCAGGCAGCCUGGAGGAGGUGAGUGAAGGGCAAAAUGGAAGAGGGAUGAAUGGCGCUGCUGCCUCAACUCCACCUUCUCCCGCCUACCGCGGGCUGCUGCCAGCAGCUCCCCCCCCCAUCCCCCGGCAUCCCCAUGGCCCUCGGCGGCACAGCCGAGGGGCAACCACGGCGGAAGCGUCUGAAAAGCAAACUGAGUAUCACGUGGUGAAGGUAAAUAAAGGGAACGAUGAAAAAUCA